UUAGUAUUGUUCGUUCCUAUG
rnacentral:piRNA from 1 species